AAUAAUUGGUACUGUCGCACAAUGCGCGUGCGCGUUCAAAUCUGUGGAUUAUAUUCAGUUCUAUUCAGACCGCUGAAGUGAACGGUGCAGUUAAGGCUUCACUAUUAAACGGAAUAAUGGAAUAAAGCUGGAAGGAAUUUAGUCAAUCUUUUUAAAGCUAAAAUAACAAACAAGAUUUUUCUAAGGAUGUAACCAAGUUAUUCAAGUAAGCAGUUACUUAAUCUAUCACUAAAUAAACAUUGA